UUUGAUUCUGGCUCAGGACGAACGCUGGCGGCGUGCCUAACACAUGCGAGUCGAACGGAGAAUUUUAUUUCGGUAGAAUUCUUAGUGGCGAACGGGUGAGUAACGCGUAGGCAACCUGCCCUUUAGACGGGGACAACAUUCCGAAAGGAGUGCUAAUACCGGAUGUGAUCAUCUUGCCGCAUGGCAGGAUGAAGAAAGAUGGCCUCUACAAGUAAGCUAUCGCUAAAGGAUGGGCCUGCGUCUGAUUAGCUAGUUGGUAGUGUAACGGACUACCAAGGCGAUGAUCAGUAGCCGGUCUGAGAGGAUGAACGGCCACAUUGGGACUGAGACACGGCCCAAACUCCUACGGGAGGCAGCAGUGGGGAAUCUUCCGCAAUGGACGAAAGUCUGACGGAGCAACGCCGCGUGAGUGAUGAAGGAUUUCGGUCUGUAAAGCUCUGUUGUUUAUGACGAACGUGCAGUGUGUGAACAAUGCAUUGCAAUGACGGUAGUAAACGAGGAAGCCACGGCUAACUACGUGCCAGCAGCCGCGGUAAUACGUAGGUGGCGAGCGUUGUCCGGAAUUAUUGGGCGUAAAGAGCAUGUAGGCGGCUUAAUAAGUCGAGCGUGAAAAUGCGGGGCUCAACCCCGUAUGGCGCUGGAAACUGUUAGGCUUGAGUGCAGGAGAGGAAAGGGGAAUUCCCAGUGUAGCGGUGAAAUGCGUAGAUAUUGGGAGGAACACCAGUGGCGAAGGCGCCUUUCUGGACUGUGUCUGACGCUGAGAUGCGAAAGCCAGGGUAGCGAACGGGAUUAGAUACCCCGGUAGUCCUGGCCGUAAACGAUGGGUACUAGGUGUAGGAGGUAUCGACCCCUUCUGUGCCGGAGUUAACGCAAUAAGUACCCCGCCUGGGGAGUACGGCCGCAAGGUUGCAACUCAAAGGAAUUGACGGA
rnacentral:rRNA from 1 species